rnacentral:rRNA from 1 species
GGAUAAGAUAGGAAGGGCGCACGGAGGAUGCCUAGGCGCCAAGUGCCGAAGAAGGACGGGGCGAACACCGAAAUGCCUCGGGGAGCCGUACGCAGGCAAUGAUCCGAGGGUAUCCGAAUGGGGGAACCCCUCUUCCGUGAUGGGAAGAGACCGUAUACUGAAUACAUAGGUAUACGGAGGGCACCGAGGGAACUGAAACAUCUCAGUACCUCGAGGAAGAGAAAACAAGCGUGAUUCCCGAAGUAGCGGCGAGCGAACCGGGAAGAGUCCAAACUAUUGUACGUGUAAGCCUGCAAGCGUUGCGUACAGAGGGUAGCGGGGCAUUGGAGCGAGUUCUUGCAGGGACUCGGGCAGAUGAUGGACAGUGUAGGAGAACGGCAUGGGAAGGCCGGUCGCAGAGGGUGAGAGCCCCGUAUCCGACACGCUGUGCACAGUGUUUACAAUGACCCCAAGUAGGGCGGGACACGAGGAAUCCCGUUUGAAUCUGGGAGGACCACCUUCUAAGACUAAAUACGCUUGGCGACCGAUAGUGCAGAAGUACCGUGAGGGAAAGGUGAAAAGCACCGCGGGAGCGGAGUGAAAGAGAACCUGAAACCGUGUGCCUACAAGCAGUCGGAGCAUCUAUAGGGUGUGACGGCGUGCCUUUUGUAGAAUGAACCGGCGAGUGUCGAUGGCAAGCGAGGUUAAGGCUGAGAGGCCGGAGCCGAAGCGAAAGCGCGUCUGAAGAGGGCGGAAGUUUGUCGUCGACGACCCGAAACCGUGUGAUCUACCCCUGUCCAGGGUGAAGUGGCGGUAACACGCUAUGGAGGCCCGAACCCACUGACGUUGAAAAGUCAGGGGAUGAGGUGGGGGUAGGGGAGAAAUUCCAAUCGAACACGG